rnacentral:misc_RNA from 1 species
ACUCUGAUCCCUGGAAUGGUUGUCUUACAGGGGAGACUUCAGUGUCUUUGUCAUAUAGCUGUCUGUACGUGCAUCAUUGUGCAAGAGAGUGUCUGUGAAGUAUGUGCCAUUGUACUUGUCUGCAAGUGUGUGAGGUUUUAAAGUGUUGUGACAAAUGUGCGAUUGGAAAACAAGUUGAUUAAUUUAUUUUUUUAUUGUUUUAAAAAAAUAUUUUUAUAAGUAUGAGUGUAAUUGUUUAUAUGUAUGUCAAGCUUAUGUGUAAAAAAAAAUUUCUGUUCAUUUAAUGUGUAUGAAACGGAAUCACUGCCAUGUCAUUUAAGAGAUCUGUGUAUCUACGAUAGGGUUGUAUAUAAAAAAAAAUAAUUGUCCAUGGUAUAUAUGUCAUGAUUUGAUUAUCUAAAAGCAGUAUAAUUAAUAAACACUAUGGAAAUAGCUAAAUUAUAAAUGAAGGAAUGCAGCACCUUUUAAACUUAUACUUAAUGGUGUUACGGCACAAAUGUAUAAACAAAACAGUUCAAAAGAAUCAGUGUAGACAGCAUUCUGUAAAAAUAAACGUCUCUUUUAAGUACUGAUACAAUCCUCAGCAGUAAUGUUAAGUGUUUUAAUUGCUUGUUAAUGUCAAAGAGAGAUAUUGUUGGUGUUGAUGAACGUUGUUGGAUUAAUUUGAAAUUAUCUAGUCUAUGAACUGGUACCGUUGAAGGACCAAGACAUUAAAUGUACAUAAUUAUAGUUUAUAUAUGGUGCUGGUGCAAUAAAGGCACAGCUUUUAUGCUAAAAUAAAAUGCAUUAUUUUG